rnacentral:tRNA from 1 species
UGGGGUAUAGCCAAGCGGUAAGGCAUCAGACUUUGACUCUGAUAUGCAAUGGUUCGAAUCCAUUUACCCCAGCCA